AGAGUUUGAUCAUGGCUCAGGAUGAACGCUGGCGGCGUGCUUAACACAUGCAAGUCGAACGAGGUCCAACCUUCGGGUGAAGACCGAGUGGCGAACGGGUGAGUAACACGUGGGGAACCUGCCCUUCUCUCUGGGAUAACCUCGGGAAACCGAAGCUAAUACCGGAUACUCCUUGCGGACCGCAUGGUCUGCUCGGGAAAGCUCCGGCGGAGAAGGAUGGCCCCGCGGCCCAUUAGCUUGUUGGUGGGGUAACGGCCCACCAAGGCGACGAUGGGUAGCCGAGCUGAGAGGCUGAUCGGCCACACUGGGACUGAGACACGGCCCAGACUCCUACGGGAGGCAGCAGUGGGGAAUCUUGCGCAAUGGGCGAAAGCCUGACGCAGCAACGCCGCGUGCGGGAUGAAGGCUCUCGGGUCGUAAACCGCUUUCAGCAGGGAUGAAAAUGACAGUACCUGCAGAAGAAGCCCCGGCUAAAUACGUGCCAGCAGCCGCGGUAAUACGUAUGGGGCAAGCGUUAUCCGGAUUCAUUGGGCGUAAAGCGCGCGUAGGCGGCUUGUUAAGUCAGGCGUGAAAUCCGGGGGCUCAACCCGCGGCUUGCGUCUGAAACUGGCAGGCUUGAGUCUGGUAGAGGAAAGUGGAAUUCCUGGUGUAGCGGUGAAAUGCGCAGAUAUCAGGAGGAACACCAGUGGCGAAGGCGGCUUUCUGGGCCACGACUGACGCUGAGGCGCGAAAGCUAGGGGAGCGAACAGGAUUAGAUACCCUGGUAGUC
rnacentral:rRNA from 1 species